GAGUUUGAUCCUGGCUCAGAUUGAACGCUGGCGGCAGGCCUAACACAUGCAAGUCGAGCGGUAACAGAUCCAGCUUGCUGGAUGCUGACGAGCGGCGGACGGGUGAGUAAUGCAUAGGAAUCUGCCCGAUAGUGGGGGAUAACCUGGGGAAACCCAGGCUAAUACCGCAUACGUCCUACGGGAGAAAGGGGGCUCCGGCUCCCGCUAUGGGAUGAGCCUAUGUCGGAUUAGCUGGUUGGUGAGGUAACGGCUCACCAAGGCCACGAUCCGUAGCUGGUCUGAGAGGAUGAUCAGCCACAUCGGGACUGAGACACGGCCCGAACUCCUACGGGAGGCAGCAGUGGGGAAUAUUGGACAAUGGGGGAAACCCUGAUCCAGCCAUGCCGCGUGUGUGAAGAAGGCCCUCGGGUUGUAAAGCACUUUCAGCGAGGAAGAACGCCUAACGGUUAAUACCCGCUAGGAAAGACAUCACUCGCAGAAGAAGCACCGGCUAACUCCGUGCCAGCAGCCGCGGUAAUACGGAGGGGGCUAGCGUUGUUCGGAAUUACUGGGCGUAAAGCGUACGUAGGCGGAUUGUUAAGUUAGAGGUGAAAUCCCAGGGCUCAACCCUGGAACUGCCUUUAAAACUGGCAAUCUAGAGUUAUGGAGAGGUAAGUGGAAUUCCUAGUGUAGAGGUGAAAUUCGUAGAUAUUAGGAGGAACACCAGAGGCGAAGGCGGCUUACUGGACAUAUACUGACGCUGAGGUACGAAAGUGUGGGGAGCAAACGGGAUUAGAUAUCCCGGUAGUCCACACCGUAAACGAUGAGAGCUAGUUGUCUGCAGGCAUGCCUGUAGGUGACGCAGCUAACGCAUUAAGCUCUCCGCCUGGGGAGUACGGUCGCAAGAUUAAAACUCAAAGAAAUUGACGGGGGCCCGCACAAGCGGUGGAGCAUGUGGUUUAAUUCGAAGCAACGCGCAGAACCUUACCUACCCUUGACAUACUCGUCGCGAUUACCAGAGAUGGUUUUCUUCAGUUAGGCUGGACGAUGUACAGGUGCUGCAUGGCUGUCGUCAGCUCGUGUCGUGAGAUGUUAGGUUAAGUCCUGCAACGAGCGCAACCCUCGUCCUUAGUUGCCAGCAUUUAGUUGGGCACUCUAGGGAUACUGCCGGUGCUAAGCCGGAGGAAGGUGGGGAUGACGUCAAGUCUUCAUGGCCCUUACGGGGUGGGCUACACACGUGCUACAAUGGCGAUGACAAAGGGUUAAUCCCUAAAAGUCGUCUCAGUUCGGAUUGUCUUCUGCAACUCGAAGGCAUGAAGUUGGAAUCGCUAGUAAUCGCAGGUCAGCAUACUGCGGUGAAUACGUUCCCGGGCCUUGUACACACCGCCCGUCACACCAUGGGAAUUGGGUCUACCCGAAGGCCGUGCGCCAACCUACUUGUAGGAGGCAGCGGACCACGGUGGGUUCAGUGACUGGGGUGAAGUCGUAACAAGGUAACCGUA
rnacentral:rRNA from 1 species